ACGGAGGAUGCAAGCGUUAUCCGGAUUCAUUGGGUUUAAAGGGUGCGCAGGCGGAUUAAUAAGUCAGUGGUGAAAUCCUACGGCUCAACUGUAGAACUGCCAUUGAUACUGUUAGUCUUGAGUAUUGUUGAGGUAGGCGGAAUGUGUCAUGUAGCGGUGAAAUGCUUAGAUAUGUCGCAGAACACCGAUGGCGAAGGCAGCCUACCGGGCAAUAACUGACGCUCAUGCACGAAAGCGUGGGGAGCAAACAG
rnacentral:rRNA from 1 species